CAAUAGCGUAUAUUAAAGUUGUUGCAGUUAAAAAGCUCGUGGUUUGAUUUCUGGUGGGAGCGAUCGGUCUGGCGCUUAGCGCGAGUACUUGCAUCGUCUCCGGCCAUCCUUGGGGAGAGUCUGUCUGGCAUUAAGUUGUCGGGCAGAGGAUCCUCAUCGUUUACUGUGAAAAAAUUAGAGUGUUCAAAGCAGGCUUAUGCCGUUGAAUAUAUUAGCAUGGAAUAAUAAGAUAGGACUUUGGUACUAUUUUGUUGGUUUGCGCACCAAAGUAAUGAUUAAUAGGGACAGUUGGGGGUAUUCGUAUUCCGUUGUCAGAGGUGAAAUUCUUGGAUUUACGGAAGACGAACUACUGCGAAAGCAUUUACCAAGGAUGUUUUCAUUA
rnacentral:rRNA from 1 species